GCCGGGCACAGUGGCUCGUGUCUAUAAUCCCAGCUACUUGGGAGGCUGAGGUGGGAGUGGGAGGACUUGCUUGAGUCCAGGAGUUCUGGGUUGUAGUGUGCUAUGCCUAUCGGAUGUCUGCACUAAGUUUGGCAUCAAUAUGGUGACCUCCCAGGCACAGGGGACCACUAGGUUGCCUAAGGAGGGGUGAACCAGCCCAGGUCAGAAACAAAGCUGGUCAAAACUACUGUGCUGAUCAGUAGUGGGAUCACACCUGUGAAUAGACAUUGCACGCCAGCCUGGGCAACAUAGCAAGACCCCAUCUCU
rnacentral:SRP_RNA from 1 species